GACAUUCCAAUUCAUUAUUUGCUGUUGAAAAGUUACAUGAGGAUUUCGAUCAGAAAUUAAUUUUUUUUUUUUUUUUUUUGAGAAAAACGAAUAUUUCCAAGAAGAAGGAAGGAAACAUUGGAACAAAUUUAACAACUAAACACAAUUAAAGCAUUGAGUGGAAUGUACUCAUAUAUAAAGAAAAAAAAUGAAGCAAUCCUGUUUGAUAAAUACUAAAAUAAGAGAGAUAUU